rnacentral:misc_RNA from 1 species
UUUUUUUUUUUUUUUUUUUGGUGUCUUGACAUACUUGAUUUGUGGAAGUUCAUACAAUGUAGCUCCAAUUGCAGCUGCAAUCAUUACAUCCAAAGAAUAGGAAUUGAACUUGUUGUGCAAUCACUGCUACUUGAUUUACUGUCAUUGGUACUCUUAGCUUGAAGCAGAAUCUUGGGUGUCCUUUCUGCAUAUUAUUUGAUAUUUGGCAAACUAUAUUAUCCUUACCUGAGGAGUAGGUUAAUAACGUGUAAUCUAUAUUGCUAGUCAAAGAGUUUGAGUUGCAUGAGGAUAAGUGUAACUUUUCGUUCCACAUCAGCAAAAAACAAGAAAAAUGAACAGCUUGUAAAGUUUAAGGCCACCAAACCAAAAUGGCUUAGGUCAAUUGGGCGGAGGUGUGCCAAAUCCGGCCCAUAUGCUGCAGCAGCUGGCUUGUUUGUGUUCCAACCCCCUUGGGCCUAGACAGAAAAAUCUAAUGCUUUUUGUUUUUUAAUUUAUUUAUUUUUCCUCUCUCCCUUCAGGUGUGGCAAUGUCAACUGGGCAAA